UACGCAGGGGGCUAGCGUUGCUCGGAAUCACUGGGCGUAAAGCGCACGUAGGCGGCCUCUUAAGUCGGUGGUGAAAUCCUGGAGCUCAACUCCAGAACUGCCUUCGAUACUGAGAGUCUCGAGUCCGGGAGAGGUGAGUGGAACUGCGAGUGUAGAGGUGAAAUUCGUAGAUAUUCGCAAGAACACCAGUGGCGAAGGCGGCUCACUGGCCCGGUACUGACGCUGAGGUGCGAAAGCGUGGGGAGCAAACAGG
rnacentral:rRNA from 1 species